CAGUCGCCACGGUAAUACGAAGGGUGCAAGCGUUACUCGGAAUUACUGGGCGUAAAGCGUGCGUAGGUGGUGGUUUAAGUCCGUUGUGAAAGCCCUGGGCUCAACCUGGGAAUUGCAGUGGAUACUGGGUCACUAGAGUGUGGUAGAGGAUAGUGGAAUUUCCGGUGUAGCAGUGAAAUGCGUAGAGAUCGGAAGGAACAUCUGUGGCGAAGGCGACUAUCUGGGCCAACACUGACACUGAGGCACGAAAGCGUGGGGAGCAAACAGGAUUAGAUACCCCAGUAGUCUGUCUCUUAUACAC
rnacentral:rRNA from 1 species